rnacentral:ribozyme from 1 species
UUCGUUUCUUUUCACAUUUCUAAGCCUAAGCCUGUUUCUCCUGUCAACGGUUCGUCAGGUGAUGCAGUUCCCCAGCGUGCUUCUUCUCCUGCCUCGCAUCGUGCUUCUUCUCCUACACCAGCUGCAAAAACAAUUAUGAUUCGUCAUUUUGCUUAUUCUCUGGAAGAUAACAACACCAAUGAAAAUAACUUCCAUGCGCGACAUCAACAAAUAC